rnacentral:rRNA from 1 species
UUGGGAAUAUUGCACAAUGGGCGAAAGCCUGAUGCAGCGACGCCGCGUGAGGGAUGACGGCCUUCGGGUUGUAAACCUCUUUCAGUAGGGACGAAGCGCAAGUGACGGUACCUGCAGAAGAAGCACCGGCUAACUACGUGCCAGCAGCCGCGGUAAUACGUAGGGUGCGAGCGUUGUCCGGAAUUACUGGGCGUAAAGAGCUCGUAGGCGGUUUGUCACGUCGUCUGUGAAAUCCUAGGGCUUAACCCUGGACGUGCAGGCUAUACGGGCUGACUUGAGUACUACACGGGAGACUGGAAGUUCUGGUGUAGCAGUGGAAUGCACAGAUAUCAGGAAGAACACCGAUGGCGAAGGCAGGUCUCUGGGUAGUAACUGACGCUGAGGAGCGAAAGCAUGGGUAGCGAACAGG